rnacentral:rRNA from 1 species
GCUGGCGGCAGGCUUAACACAUGCAAGUCGAGCGGGGAAGAGUAGCUUGCUACUUGACCUAGCGGCGGACGGGUGAGUAAUGCUUAGGAAUCUGCCUAUUAGUGGGGGACAACAUCUCGAAAGGGAUGCUAAUACCGCAUACGUCCUACGGGAGUAAGCAGGGGACCUUCGGGCCUUGCGCUAAUAGAUGAGCCUAAGUCGGAUUAGCUAGUUCGUGGGGUAAAGGCCUACCAAGGCGACGAUCUGUAGCGGGUCUGAGAGGAUGAUCCGCCACACUGGGACUGAGACACGGCCCAGACUCCUACGGGAGGCAGCAGUGGGGAAUAUUGGACAAUGGGGGGAACCCUGAUCCAGCCAUGCCGCGUGUGUGAAGAAGGCCUUUUGGUUGUAAAGCACUUUAAGCGAGGAGGAGGCUACCGAGAUUAAUACUCUUGGAUAGUGGACGUUACUCGCAGAAUAAGCACCGGCUAACUCUGUGCCAGCAGCCGCGGUAAUACAGAGGGUGCAAGCGUUAAUCGGAUUUACUGGGCGUAAAGCGCGCGUAGGUGGCCAAUUAAGUCAAAUGUGAAAUCCCCGAGCUUAACUUGGGAAUUGCAUUCGAUACUGGUUGGCUAGAGUAUGGGAGAGGAUGGUAGAAUUCCAGGUGUAGCG